CCUUAAAAACAGCAGUGUUGAAUACCAAGGAGAGCUAAGAUUAGUGAAAGAGCAGCUGCUUAACAUCAGAUGCAGCAUCCUUCACCUUCAGCUGGGACACUGACUGGGGGAAAAACAGCAGAAAGGAGAGGACUGAGCUUUACCUCAAUGGGUUCUUUCUAUCAGUGUUAUGAAAAACUACUGAGGAGCUUGGGACCAAAAAAUAGCAGAGGACCCACCCCUGCCUGGGCCACAGCAAUGCCACUGUGCCCAUCUCCAUGGUACAGAUGCAUUGGUUCCAUGCUUUCCCAAUGUUGUUGGGAUCUGCAGUGCUGAUCUUGAGAUCCUGGCUAAGUCCUGGAACAUGCCACCACCAUUAUCUUUAGCAAGGAUGAGUCAAAGACAAUCUCUUCAUGUUAGGGUACACUGCUCCAAGAUCUUGGUCUUGGAGCUGCCCAAGAUCCU
rnacentral:lncRNA from 1 species